GACGAACGCUGGCGGCGUGCUUAACACAUGCAAGUCGAACGGAAAGGCCCUGCUUUUGUGGGGUGCUCGAGUGGCGAACGGGUGAGUAACACGUGAGUAACCUGCCCUUGACUUUGGGAUAACUUCAGGAAACUGGGGCUAAUACCGGAUAGGAGCUCCUGCUGCAUGGUGGGGGUUGGAAAGUUUCGGCGGUUGGGGAUGGACUCGCGGCUUAUCAGCUUGUUGGUGGGGUAGUGGCUUACCAAGGCUUUGACGGGUAGCCGGCCUGAGAGGGUGACCGGCCACAUUGGGACUGAGAUACGGCCCAGACUCCUACGGGAGGCAGCAGUGGGGAAUAUUGCACAAUGGGCGGAAGCCUGAUGCAGCAACGCCGCGUGCGGGAUGACGGCCUUCGGGUUGUAAACCGCUUUCGCCUGUGACGAAGCGUGAGUGACGGUAAUGGGUAAAGAAGCACCGGCUAACUACGUGCCAGCAGCCGCGGUGAUACGUAGGGUGCGAGCGUUGUCCGGAUUUAUUGGGCGUAAAGGGCUCGUAGGUGGUUGAUCGCGUCGGAAGUGUAAUCUUGGGGCUUAACCCUGAGCGUGCUUUCGAUGCGGGUUGACUUGAGGAAGGUAGGGGAGAAUGGAAUUCCUGGUGGAGCGGUGGAAUGUGCAGAUAUCAGGAGGAACACCAGUGGCGAAGGCGGUUCUCUGGGCCUUUCCUGACGCUGAGGAGCGAAAGCGUGGGGAGCGAACAGGCUUAGAUACCCUGGUAGUCCACGCUGUAAACGGUGGGUACUAGGUGUGGGGUCCAUUCCACGGGUUCCGUGCCGUAGCUAACGCUUUAAGUACCCCGCCUGGGGAGUACGGCCGCAAGGCUAAAACUCAAAGGAAUUGGCGGGGCCCCGCACAAGCGGCGGAGCAUGCGGAUUAAUUCGAUGCAACGCGUAGAACCUUACCUGGGUUUGACAUGGAUCGGGAGCGCUCAGAGAUGGGUGUGCCUCUUUUGGGGUCGGUUCACAGGUGGUGCAUGGCUGUCGUCAGCUCGUGUCGUGAGAUGUUGGGUUAAGUCCCGCAACGAGCGCAACCCUUGUUCACUGUUGCCAGCACGUUAUGGUGGGGACUCAGUGGAGACCGCCGGGGUCAACUCGGAGGAAGGUGGGGAUGACGUCAAGUCAUCAUGCCCCUUAUGUCCAGGGCUUCACGCAUGCUACAAUGGCUGGUACAGAGAGUGGCGAGCCUGUGAGGGUGAGCGAAUCUCGGAAAGCCGGUCUCAGUUCGGAUUGGGGUCUGCAACUCGACCUCAUGAAGUCGGAGUCGCUAGUAAUCGCAGAUCAGCAACGCUGCGGUGAAUACGUUCCCGGGGCU
rnacentral:rRNA from 1 species